rnacentral:tRNA from 1 species
GGCCUGAUGGUCUAGGGGUAUGAAUCUCGCUUUGGGUGCGAGAGGUCCCGGGUUCAAAUCCCGGUCAGGCCC